AUAUUUACAUUCUUUCAUAAGCAUGCAUAAUACCUUCGAUCACUAAUUCAGAAGUUUUAGAAUCAUAUUCAGUGAUAGCAUACACUCUGAUAUGGGUAGAUGAUUUAUGAGGCAGUGACUCUUUCUUAUUAUUCAAAGGGCAGUCUUUUAUUUUAUGAUCCAACUUUCCGCACGCAAAAUAGACUCUAGCCACCCACAAACACAAACUUGUUUCAUAAUUUAACUUGCAAUUUAUACAUGAUUGAGUCUUUUGUGGUGACUUCCCUUUUCAAAUCCAAAUGUCUUGACCCUCUUGUUAU
rnacentral:lncRNA from 1 species